rnacentral:rRNA from 1 species
UACGUAGGGUGCGAGCGUUGUCCGGAAUUACUGGGCGUAAAGAGCUCGUAGGUGGUUUGUCGCGUUGUUCGUGAAAACUCACAGCUCAACUGUGGGCGUGCGGGCGAUACGGGCAGACUGGAGUACUGCAGGGGAGACUGGAAUUCCUGGUGUAGCGGUGGAAUGCGCAGAUAUCAGGAGGAACACCGGUGGCGAAGGCGGGUCUCUGGGCAGUAACUGACGCUGAGGCACGAAAGCGUGGGGAGCAAACAGG